ACGGGUAUCAUUAUGUUCUGAGAAUUGUAUCGACAAAGCACACUGAGUCUGUUAAAAACUAAUUAAAAAUCUUAAAAACCCGACAGGGCUGCGACGGGGCUGCGGUUCAGGGUUGGGAGGUGCGCUGGCCGCCCUCAGCGCUCAGGUGUUAGGUCCUGCGGCUUCCCCUGCUGGUCCCGGCACUUCCUGCCUCGCCCUCCAAGUCAGCACUGCGGGCAGGCCUUCCUCGGCUGCCCAUCGCAUCUCCGGAGCACCCUCUGCCCUUCUUUCCAGCUAGGAUAGUCUCUGUUAACAGUCAAGUGCUGUAUAAACAACUAGAAGAACAGAUUCCAUAGUACUGCUGUUCAUGGGCUGUCCUUGCCAUCAUGAGGACAACACAGUUCUACACUUGUUCCGUAAACUUAAGGUAUUAAAAUCCAGACUCCCUGCUGAUAUCCUGGGAAGGCAGCAGAAGAUGGCCCAAGUCCUUGGACCCCUGCACCCAUGUGGGAGAUCUGAAGAACGUCCUGGCCCCUGGCUUCUGCAUGGCCUAGCCCCAGUUGUUGCAGCCAUUUGGGGAGUGAACCAGCAGAUUGGAGAUUCUCUCUCUCUCGCUCUUGCUCUUACUCAUUCUCUUUGUAACUCUACCUUUAAAUAAAAUAAAAUAAAUAAAUCUUUUUUUAAAAUUGUU